UAGUAUAGCAUUAUACCGCGAAACUGCGAAUGGCUCAUUAAAUCAGUUAUCGUUUAUUUGAUAGUACCUUACUACUUGGAUAACCGUGGUAAUUCUAGAGCUAAUACAUGCUAAAAAUCCCGACUCACGGAGGGAUGUAUUUAUUAGAUUAAAAACCAAUGCCCUUCGGGGCUCCUUGGUGAUUCAUAAUAACUUCUCGAAUCGCAUGGCCUUGUGCCGGCGAUGGUUCAUUCAAAUUUCUGCCCUAUCAACUUUCGAUGGCAGGGUCUUGGCCUGCCAUGGUUACAACGGGUAACGGAGGGUUAGGGCUCGACCCCGGAGAAGGAGCCUGAGAAACGGCUACUACAUCCAAGGAAGGCAGCAGGCGCGCAAAUUACCCAAUCCCGAUUCGGGGAGGUAGUGACAAUAAAUACUGAUACAGGGCUCUUUCGGGUCUUGUAAUUGGAAUGAGUACAAUUUAAAUCCCUUAACGAGGAACAAUUGGAGGGCAAGUCUGGUGCCAGCAGCCGCGGUAAUUCCAGCUCCAAUAGCGUAUAUUAAAGUUGUUGCAGUUAAAAAGCUCGUAGUUGAACCUUGGGCCUGGCUGGCCGGUCCGCCUCACCGCGUGCACUGGUUCGGCCGGGCCUUUCCCUCUGGGGAUCCUCAUGCCCUUCACUGGGUGUGCUGGGGAACCAGGACUUUUACUGUGAAAAAAUUAGAGUGUUCAAAGCAGGCCUAUGCUCGAAUACAUUAGCAUGGAAUAAUAGAAUAGGACGUGCGGUUCUAUUUUGUUGGUUUCUAGGACCGCCGUAAUGAUUAAUAGGGACAGUCGGGGGUGUCAGUAUUCAAUUGUCAGAGGUGAAAUUCUUGGAUUUAUUGAAGACUAACUACUGCGAAAGCAUUCACCAAGGAUGUUUUCAUUAAUCAGGAACGAAAGUUAGGGGAUCGAAGACGAUCAGAUACCGUCGUAGUCUUAACCAUAAACUAUGCCGACUAGGGAUCGGACGAUGUUAUUUUUUGACUCGUUCGGCACCUUACGAGAAAUCAAAGUCUUUGGGU
rnacentral:rRNA from 1 species